rnacentral:rRNA from 1 species
GCCCAGAUGGGAUUAGCUAGUAGGUGGGGUAAAGGCUCACCUAGGCGACGAUCCCUAGCUGGUCUGAGAGGAUGACCAGCCACACUGGAACUGAGACACGGUCCAGACUCCUACGGGAGGCAGCAGUGGGGAAUAUUGCACAAUGGGCGCAAGCCUGAUGCAGCCAUGCCGCGUGUAUGAAGAAGGCCUUCGGGUUGUAAAGUACUUUCAGCGGGGAGGAAGGGAGUAAAGUUAAUACCUUUGCUCAUUGACGUUACCCGCAGAAGAAGCACCGGCUAACUCCGUGCCAGCAGCCGCGGUAAUACGGAGGGUGCAAGCGUUAAUCGGAAUUACUGGGCGUAAAGCGCACGCAGGCGGUUUGUUAAGUCAGAUGUGAAAUCCCCGGGCUCAACCUGGGAACUGCAUCUGAUACUGGCAAGCUUGAGUCUCGUAGAGGGGGGUAGAAUUCCAGGUGUAGCGGUGAAAUGCGUAGAGAUCUGGAGG